GCAGGAAGGAAUUCCAUUUAUUGUGGAUGCAUUUUCACAAUAUAUGUUUAUUGGAGCGAUCCAUUAUCAGUGAAAAGUAUCAAGUGUUUAUAAAAUUUUUAGGAAUGGCAGAUUCACAGAACAUGCUAGUCAGCUUGCAGUUUUACCUCGUAAAGAUAACAGAGAAUUAUAGUCAAACCAGUAAACAAGGAAUUUACUUUUCAAAAGAUUAAAUCCAAACUGAACAAAAUUCUACCCUAAAACUUACUCCAUCCAAAUAUUGGAAUAAAAGUCAGCAGUGAUACAUUCUCUUCUGAACUUUAGAUUUUCUAGAAAAAUAUGUAAUAGUGAUCAGGAGGAGCUCUUGUUCAAAAGUACAACAAAGCAAUGUUACCUUACCAUAGGCCUUAAUUCAAACUUUGAUCCAUUUCACUCCAAUGACGGGAGUCAAUGCUACCUGGGACACUUGUAUUUGUAAAUUCUGAUUUAGCUUAUUGUAGACUUGUGCCUACUUUGUCAUGAGGGUUUGACUUCUGCAUUCUUCAUGACUUAUGAGGAAGAUAGACUUUGUAACGCAGAUGUCACUUCUCAUGCCAGCCCUGCCCUGGUUAGCUCUUCUGGAGGAAUACUGCAGAUAAGAAAAUAGUUAUUUGGGAGGCUCCCUCAGUGUGGUAGGAAUUGAGACUAACACAAUUUUGGUUAAGUCCACUGAGGUAUGAGUUU
rnacentral:lncRNA from 1 species